rnacentral:rRNA from 1 species
AGCGAACGCUGGCGGCAGGCCUAACACAUGCAAGUCGAACGAAGUCUUCGGACUUAGUGGCGGACGGGUGAGUAACACGUGGGAACGUGCCUUUAGGUUCGGAAUAACUCAGGGAAACUUGUGCUAAUACCGAAUGUGCCCUUCGGGGGAAAGGUUUAUCGCCAUUGGAGCGGCCCGCGUCUGAUUAGCUAGUUGGUGGGGUAAAGGCCCACCAAGGCGACGAUCAGUAGCUGGUCUGAGAGGAUGAUCAGCCACAUUGGGACUGAGACACGGCCCAAACUCCUACGGGAGGCAGCAGUGGGGAAUCUUGCGCAAUGGGCGAAAGCCUGACGCAGCCAUGCCGCGUGAAAGAUGAAGGUCUUAGGAUUGUAAAAUUCUUUCACCGGGGACGAUAAUGACGGUACCCGGAGAAGAAGCCCCGGCUAACUUCGUGCCAGCAGCCGCCGUAAUAC